rnacentral:rRNA from 1 species
CGUACACUCCUGCGGGAGGCAGCAGUGGGGAAUAUUGGACAAUGGGCGCAAGCCUGAUCCAGCCAUGCCGCGUGAGUGAUGAAGGCCCUAGGGUUGUAAAGCUCUUUCACCGGUGAAGAUAAUGACGGUAACCGGAGAAGAAGCCCCGACUAACUUCGUGCCAGCAGCCGCGGUAAUACGAAGGGGGCUAGCGUUGUUCGGAUUUACUGGGCGUAAAGCGCACGUAGGCGGACUAUUAAGUCAGGGGUGAAAUCCCGGGGCUCAACCCCGGAACUGCCUUUGAUACUGGUAGUCUUGAGUUCGAGAGAGGUGAGUGGAAUUCCGAGUGUAGAGGUGAAAUUCGUAGAUAUUCGGAGGAACACCAGUGGCGAAGGCGGCUCACUGGCUCGAUACUGACGCUGAGGUGCGAAAGCGUGGGGAGCAAACAGGAUUAGAAACCCUAGUAGUCCCAUG